ACGCACGCUGGCGGCGUGCUUCACCCAUGCAAGUCGAACGGAAAGGCUCCAGCUUGUUGGAGUACUCGAGUGGCGAACGGGUGAGUAACACGUGGGUGAUCUGCCCUGCACUUCGGGAUAAGCCUGGGAAACUGGGUCUAAUACCGGAUAGGACCGCACUUUGGUGUGUGUGGUGGAAAGGUUUUUCUGGUGUGGGAUGAGCUCGCGGCCUAUCAGUUUGUUGGUGGGGUAAUGGCCUACCAAGACGGCGACGGGUAGCCGGCCUGAGAGGGUGGACGGUCACAUUGGGACUGAGAUACGGCCCAGACUCCUACGGGAGGCAGCAGUGGGGAAUAUUGCACAAUGGGGGAAACCCUGAUGCAGCGACGCCGCGUGGGGGAUGAAGGCCUUCGGGUUGUAAACUCCUUUCGCUAGGGACGAAGCUUUUUGUGACGGUACCUGGAGAAGAAGCACCGGCUAACUACGUG
rnacentral:rRNA from 1 species